CCAAAGUGAAGCUAAACCAAUGGACUGAAUGAACAGAAAAAGAUGGUCAGAUGACUGAAUAAACAAUUGAAGGAUGACCAAAGCUUUGGAUGCAUCGCUUGAAUGUUUAAUGCACCUACCGAUAUUGCACUUGGCUUCAAAAUUCCAUGAGACUUGGAGGAGUUGCUUGAAAUUUCACCAAAGCCAUUUGUAUUCAAAGCGAUUCAGAUCGAGCCGAGCUUAUCAUCGUGAACCAGCAACCGAAGGAAUCAAGCAAAUUUGAUGAGAAGCAAAAAGAGCACUUAGUUUGGGAAUUUAAGCAAAAUUAAGAGUUGUAGAUGUCAGACUCACACGGUUGAGGAUGUUGCGUUGACAGAUGAGUUGAUGGACAUGGUGUUUGCCCAUGAGCCACAGACACAGGAUGCAGCAGCGGUAUUCCAUACACCUCCCCCAGUUACCAUAGCUGCAACUUCGAUGCCUGAGGUGUUGACAGGGGAUGAAAUGUCCCAAAUUGAUGACAUCACGCUCUCAACGAUCGAUUUUGGCCUACAAGGCUAUACAGUAUC